AGAACGCAGCGAAAUGCGAUAAGUAGUGUGAAUUGCAGAAUUCAGUGAAUCAUCGAAUCUUUGAACGCACAUUGCGCCUUCCGGUAUUCCGGGAGGCAUGCCUGUUCGAGCGUCAUCAAACUCAUCCUCAAGCCUUUUGUGCUUGGUACUGGAGGAAGAUGGACCUCUGUUCAUCCCCUCUGAAAUUCGUCAGCAGAAGUUGCGGUAGCCUCAGCGUGAUAUUAUACACUCGCUCUUGGUGGUUAUUGCAUUCUUGCUGUUAGAAAUGCCCCCAGCACUUCAAUUGUUGACCUCGGAUCAGGUACG
rnacentral:rRNA from 1 species